rnacentral:rRNA from 1 species
UGAACGCUGGCGGCGUGCCUAAUACAUGCAAGUCGAGCGAACAGACGAGGAGCUUGCUCCUCUGACGUUAGCGGCGGACGGGUGAGUAACACGUGGAUAACCUACCUAUAAGACUGGGAUAACUUCGGGAAACCGGAGCUAAUACCGGAUAAUAUAUUGAACCGCAUGGUUCAAUAGUGAAAGACGGGUUUGCUGUCACUUAUAGAUGGAUCCGCGCCGCAUUAGCUAGUUGGUAAGGUAACGGCUUACCAAGGCAACGAUGCGUAGCCGACCUGAGAGGGUGAUCGGCCACACUGGAACUGAGACACGGUCCAGACUCCUACGGGAGGCAGCAGUAGGGAAUCUUCCGCAAUGGGCGAAAGCCUGACGGAGCAACGCCGCGUGAGUGAUGAAGGUCUUCGGAUCGUAAAACUCUGUUAUUAGGGAAGAACAAAUGUGUAAGUAACUAUGCACGUCUUGACGGUACCUAAUCAGAAAGCCACGGCUAACUACGUG